rnacentral:rRNA from 1 species
GCGGACGGGUGAGUAACACGUGGAUAACCUACCUAUAAGACUGGGAUAACUUCGGGAAACCGGAGCUAAUACCGGAUAAUAUUUUGAACCGCAUGGUUCAAAAGUGAAAGACGGUCUUGCUGUCACUUAUAGAUGGAUCCGCGCUGCAUUAGCUAGUUGGUAAGGUAACGGCUUACCAAGGCAACGAUGCAUAGCCGACCUGAGAGGGUGAUCGGCCACACUGGAACUGAGACACGGUCCAGACUCCUACGGGAGGCAGCAGUAGGGAAUCUUCCGCAAUGGGCGAAAGCCUGACGGAGCAACGCCGCGUGAGUGAUGAAGGUCUUCGGAUCGUAAAACUCUGUUAUUAGGGAAGAACAUAUGUGUAAGUAACUGUGCACAUCUUGACGGUACCUAAUCAGAAAGCCACGGCUAACUACGUGCCAGCAGCCGCGGUAAUACGUAGGUGGCAAGCGUUAUCCGGAAUUAUUGGGCGUAAAGCGCGCGUAGGCGGUUUUUUAAGUCUGAUGUGAAAGCCCACGGCUCAACCGUGGAGGGUCAUUGGAAACUGGAAAACUUGAGUGCAGAAGAGGAAAGUGGAAUUCCAUGUGUAGCGGUGAAAUGCGCAGAGAUAUGGAGGAACACCAGUGGCGAAGGCGACUUUCUGGUCUGUAACUGACGCUGAUGUGCGAAAGCGUGGGGAUCAAACAGGAUUAGAUACCCUGGUAGUCCACGCCGUAAACGAUGAGUGCUAAGUGUUAGGGGGUUUCCGCCCCUUAGUGCUGCAGCUAACGCAUUAAGCACUCCGCCUGGGGAGUACGACCGCAAGGUUGAAACUCAAAGGAAUUGACGGGGACCCGCACAAGCGGUGGAGCAUGUGGUUUAAUUCGAAGCAACGCGAAGAACCUUACCAAAUCUUGACAUCCUUUGACAA